GCUUGUUAAUAAUGGAAUGAAAAUUAUUGAUUGUUAUUAACUUGUGAAAAAGAAGUGUAACAAAUCCACAUGUUAUGUUCUUACACCCUUACAGAAACUGUGACUCCUUCACAAUGUCAGAUUACCUUGUGGGAGUAGCUGGACCAAACUCUAUUGGUAUUUCAAGUUUGAAAUCCCUGUUUGACCAGACUAACAUUUCAGAUGAGGUAAUAGAUGGCCUAAUCUAUUUGCAGUGUGAGAAUUUCCCUCACAUUUAUCCAAUACCAAGCCAAAUCACUGGAAAAAUUUUGGAUGGGUCCACAAGAGCACAAAGUGCAUACUUUUUGAAGAAAAACAUCUUUCAGAUGUAUGAGAAAUUGAUUGGAGCCUGUCUGGGAAAACGGCAGCCACUGGACCUUGUUUUUUUGUGACAUACCCAAGAGGACCAUAGUCUAUAUGAAUUCAUUUGGCGAGUCGGAGGUCAGAAAAAGUGCGGUGUUGAAAAACUGGAGCUCAUUUGCUUCAGCAAGAGGCUGCGCUGGAGAGUGGACCUUGUCACAUGUGAGCCACCCACAUCAACAGGAUGGGAACUCAUGUGGAGUGCAUGUCAUAAUGUUUGCCCAAUCUCUCAUUGACGGUAAAACACAAGUGGAGGAGUACAACACUGAAAUCACAAAGCUCAGAUCGAACUAGGAAGUGCAGUCAGUGCUGG